GUCUAAUCCCCUGCGAGGACGCAAAAAGCCGGGAAGGGGGACCCAAGACUUCAGAAUUCCAUGGUGGAUAUAGAGAGAGUGAGUUAGCGAGUGAGAUUUUACUGAGAAAUUGUGACCAAAAUAGCAUCGAAAGGCAAAGAAAAAAGGAGUGAAGGAAAAAAUCUACCGGGGAAAAAAUAGAAGUAGGUUUCAGACGAACGACGGAGAGAGUUUGAAGGAGAUUCGUCACUAUUUUGUCCUCUGGAAUAAACAUCGGAGGUAGGUUGCUGCGCUCUCUUGACUUAACUGAAUCUUGAGCUUUGCUUUCAGGGCUAUGGUUUCCGGUCUUUUGUCGUUUAGAGCUGACUGUUACUGAAUUUCCGGAGGUAUUAGUUUGCCUCUUCGAUUUUGGUUUGAUCUCUCCUUUUCAACUUUAGUUUUCCUAGGCGUGGGCGAUGAGAGCCAUGGAAAUGGGCUGAAGCUUGGAAUUGUUCGGUAAUGACUACGUUGGCUGGGCAAUUAGCUUUUCGUGCCUAAUUAGGUGUUUAUGUUAUUAGGAAUGGUGGUAGGUAUGGUAAUGACAAUAUGAAAAUAAUGACGGUGGUUUAGCAUUUGGAGGAUUAUUUGAGUCUGCGAGUUCACAACCCUUAGAGAAAGUUUUCUGACGAAGGAAUGAGAUCUUAACGAUGAUCGACUACAGAGGUCGAAUUUAACUUAUCAGCGCUUCGCCAUCAAUUAUUUUAAAUCCAUCACAUGUUUGCUCUUUCAUAACUUUUUAUCUAUCUCUUCUCUACUUUUUAUGAGGAUUGAACAUUUAAUGUGGUACCAAUAGCUUGAAUAUUCUCACCCUCAUUAAUUCUUGUUAUUAUGUCUGUGCUCAAUGCUAGUUUUAUGUUAUCAUUACUCACCAUGAAAUAUUUUAAGAACUAUUUAUGUAUUGUUUUAAUUACAUUCAUCUCAUAAUUAAUUACAUUUGUCCUAUAUCAUAUGCUUAGAGGCCUCCAUUCUAAAACUUGUCUAUUUGAAGAUAUUAGUCAGUGGUACUAUGAUCGUGCUAAAGUCCUUGAUAAACUAGCGAGAAAAAGUACCAAAUCGUUGAAACUUAUAACAUCUGCAAUGGAAGUAGGUGUUGCCUAAUAAAUUGUGGUUGUAAUCUUUGUGGGAUUUUGUUCAUGACCUUUAGAAUAUACCACAAAUCCAACAAAAGCGCGCGGGGCUACAGAAACAUACCUUUCACUGUGACUUACUCAGUAGACUCCUCAUAAAAGUGAUCCUAACCAGAAAGCAGAUGAUCUUGAUCGAGGAGUGGGCGUGCUGUUGACAAUUCUUCAUGGUGCGUAAUGCUUUGAGAAGUGAAAGUGUGAAGCGAAGCAUUUGGCCUUAAGGUAGAAUGCAAUAGAAGUUUAGAAGUACAAAACAUAAGCUUUAUCAUUUUAAUUUUUAGUAAUUAAAAAUGUUAAAAUAUAUUAUGAUGGUAUUAAACUAAAGUAAUAAUAUAGUAAAUUAUUAUAUCUUCUUACUAGUUUUAACCAUUUUUAGUUUGUCCAUUAAUGGAACACAUCAAAAUUUGUUCACAUUAAUAUGAAGUUAGUUGUGUAAUAUCUUUUUAUCUGGUUAGGAUAUAAUUAUAAUAAACAAGCAUUAUGGAAUAAGCUUAAAAUGAACUUAAGUUACUAAUAAAGAGCACAUGACAAUUAAAACCUUUGAACUAUGGGUGUGGUUUACUAUUAAAAUAUAGUGGACUAAUAAAAAAAUAGGUGAUAUGUGUUGUACUUAGAUGAAUGAGGAAAAAAUAGGGUAAAUAAUCUGAAGGAAAAAAAUGCCGAUUUAUAAGGUUGAUGGGAAAAGAAAGUACAUAUAUUGUAUACGAUAUAUGACAGAAUGAAUGAUGAGGUGGAAAUUAUAUGAAGCAUUUUGUCUUGAAGCUGCAAGGGGGUGAUAUUGGGUGCAGCUUCUUUUUUUGGUUUUUUACAAUUUUAUUUCCUUCACCUUCCUUAAUUUGGUAAGUAAAAUCGAAGUGUAUGCUUUUCACGCUUCAAAUCACAUCUUGAAGCAUAUCUUCAUAUAGAGAAGCAUAGCUUUAUACUACAAACCCUUAGAUUGUCAUAAUUUAGAACGUAUUGGGACUAAUUUUCUUUAAAUCAUACUUUUUAUGCUUUAAAGAACAUUUUAAAAGCAUUAGUUGAUGGUGGUGGGUAGCUUUUUGAUGUGAUUAAUUGCUAGUAAAGGCUAUGAAUUUUUAGUUUAAUAUUUAUCAGGUGUUCUUGUGUUUAUUUUGGAAUGAUGAAGAGUUUGAAGGGGUAUUUUUGUAGGAAUGCAAAGAUUGGUCCAGUUUGUAUUGAUUUGGAAGAUCAUUUUAUUGAGUGACUUUAAUGUGGGAUAAAUGAUUGAAAAUGAUGGUGGAAUUUAGUUUAGGAUGUGAAAUUAUGAUAUGGAGUUGAUGGUAGAGUAUGAUGGAGUUUAAAAGGAUGUGGAGAUGUAUUGAAUAAGACUAGGCCCAAGUGUUUUAUAGUUUAACUAAGAGUUAUGUGGAAGUGCUUAAAAUGAUUUUAAGGUUUUGGUUGCUGGUCUAUUGGUCUUAGAAUUUGCGAAUAGAGUAAAGGAAGAUAUUAGAGCGGGUGUUUAGGAAGGGUAACUAGUAACUUAAAGAAAAUAUCAUGAUAACUAUCUAACUUAUCAAAGAUAGGCAAACGAUUUGAAGCCACGAGCACCGAGUAAAUGAAUAACACUUCUCUUCUAAAAUUUUUCAUUCAUCAAUAAAAACUAUAAAAUAUUUCAGCCUAUAUUUAUUAGCAUUAUAUUACUCUU